UUCCGGUUGAUCCUGCCGGACCUGACUGCUAUCGGAACGGGAUUAAGCCAUGCGAGUCUGCCAGUCAAAGCACGCUGACUGGCGGCGAACGGCUCAGUAACACGUAGUCAACCUGCCCUUGGGACGAGAACAAUCUCGGGAAACUGAGGCUAAUUCUCGAUAGUUCAAGAUUCCUGGAAUGGGUUUUGGUCUAAAUGUGGUGACAGCAUCUUUGUCAUUUUUCGCCCGAGGAUGGGACUGCGGCCGAUCAGGCUGUUGGUGGGGUAAAGGCCCACCAAACCAGUAACCGGUACGGGCUUUGAGAGAAGGAGCCCGGAGAUGGACACUGAGACAAGGGUCCAGGUCCUACGGGGCGCAGCAGGCGCGAAACCUUCGCAAUGCGCGCAAGCGCGACGAGGUUAUUCCGAGUGAUUCCCGCUGAGGGAGUCUUUUCUCAGAUCUAAAAUGUCUGGGGAAUAAGGGGAGGGCAAGUCUGGUGUCAGCCGCCGCGGUAAUACCAGCUCCUCGAGUGGUCAGGGCGUUUAUUGGGCCUAAAGCAUCCGUAGCCGGCUCAGUAGGUCUCCUGUUAAAUCCAGCGGCUCAACCGUUGGUCUGCAGGAGAUACCGCUGGGCUAGGAGGCGGGAGAGGCGGACGGUACUCCGAGGGUAGGGGUAAAAUCCUUUGAUCCCCGGAAGACCACCAGUGGCGAAGGCGGUCCGCCAGAACGCGCUCGACGGUGAGGGAUGAAAGCUGGGGGAGCGAACCGGAUUAGAUACCCGGGUAGUCCCAGCCGUAAACGAUGCGAGCUAGGUGACACAACGCCUUCGGGGCGUUGUGGUGCCGCAGGGAAGCCGUUAAGCUCGCCGCCUGGGGAGUACGGACGCAAGUCUGAAACUUAAAGGAAUUGGCGGGGAGCACCACAAGGGUGAAGCCUGCGGUUCAAUUGGAGUCAACGCCGGGA
rnacentral:rRNA from 1 species